AACGAACGCUGGCGGCAGGCUUAACACAUGCAAGUCGAACGGGUGUAGCAAUACAUCAGUGGCAGACGGGUGAGUAACACGUGGGAACCUUCCCAGGGGUACGGAACAACUCAGGGAAACUUGAGCUAAUACCGUAUACGUCCGUGAGGAGAAAGAUUUAUCGCCCUUAGACGGGCCCGCGUCGGAUUAGGUAGUUGGUGGGGUAACGGCCUACCAAGCCUACGAUCCGUAGCUGAUCUUAGAGGAUGAUCAGCCACACUGGGACUGAGACACGGCCCAGACUCCUACGGGAGGCAGCAGUGGGGAAUCUUGGACAAUGGGCGCAAGCCUGAUCCAGCCAUGCCGCGUGAGUGAAGAAGGCCUUAGGGUUGUAAAGCUCUUUUACCAGGGACGAUAAUGACGGUACCUGGAAAAUAAGCCCCGGCAAACUUCGUGCCAGCAGCCGCCGUAACAC
rnacentral:rRNA from 1 species